GGCCGCGGCAGCAGCGGCCUCUGUUCUCAGAGGCGCGCUUCGCUGAGCGGAGCGGGGGCCCAGCCCACGCGCCCUCAGAGGCGAGUGAGGACGUCGCGGUCCCCGCAAAGAGGAGGCUGUCCGUGCGGCCGACCUUCCCGCAGCUCGGAGAGAAGCCACACAGCAAUGCUGAUGAAGACUGCCAUUACUGAGCGAUUACUGAGUGCCUAGAGUUUAUCUUCUCUAUACUUUACAAGAACCAUGUGUGGAAGAAGCUGCUUUUUGGAGAUGAGGAAUCUGAGGCUUAGAGUGUGCGGCAGGUAAAAUAAUGGCCCCCAAAGACAGCCCCGUUCAAAUCCCUGGAACCAGCGAAUAUAUUGCCUUACACUGCAGAAGAGAUUCUGCAGGUGAGUUAAAGGUUAAGACCUUGAGAUGAGAUUAUUCAGAGUCACCUGGCUGGGCCCACGCUAAUCACUGAGUCCUUAAAAGUGGAACCUGUUCUGGCUGGGUUAGAGAGUGGCACACCUGUCGAAGCAGGGUCAGAGAGACGGCAGUGUGAGAAGGACUCAAUACUCUGUUGCUGAGCUGUGGGUACCAGCCACAGACCGGCAAGAGUACUCUAGGAGCUCAGUUCAGCCCUCAGCUAACAGCCGGCAAGGAAACAGAGCCCUCAGUCCUAUAGCCCCGUGGAACUGAAGUCUGCCAACAGCUGAAGGAGCGAGCGAGGGGAUUCCGUCCUGACCCUGCAAGAAGGACCCCAGCGCUGCCAGCACAUCAGUUUCAGCCCAGUGAGACGCACGCCAGACUUCUGACUUAGCAAACUGUAAGAUAACAGAUUUGCGUUGUUUUACACCUCUAAAAUUGUGGUAAUUUUUCUUAUGGUGGCAGCAAAAGAAAACAAAUAUAGGCCACCAUGACCAGAAAGUUUUAGUGAAAUGGGAGCUCAAACUCAGGUGGUCUGACUCCAGCAUCUGGGUACAGCGAGGUCAUUACUUAUUUAGCCAGCACAUUUUAAAAAAUUUUUUUAUUACUCAAAUGAAUGUAUCCCAUCUGUAGUUGUAUAAUGAUCAUCACAAUCUGACUUCCCAGGAUGUCCAUCCCACGGCCCAGGCACAUCCCCCCACCCCCCAAACUGUCUCCUCUGGAGACCAUGAGUGUUUCAAUGUCUGUGAGUCAGCAUCUGUUCUGCAAAGAAGUCCCGUCUGUCCUUUUUUCAACCAGCACAUAUUGAUGAGCAUUUGGAUUCUCAAUGUAUAGUAUUUCAGACAAUGGGACCGUAGAUUUCUGUAUUUUCAAACACUUUAGUUAGAAUUUACACAGGAAAAUUCGCUACAACUGAAAUUACUGGGGGGGGGGAGGAUAAUCACAUUAAAUAUUUUUAUAAAUGCUGCCAAAUUGCCUUGCAAAUGUUCCCAGUGACACCCUUAGUCUAAAGCAGAAAUCAGCAGGAAAAGAACGAACACAAAGUAUGGCUGGAUCUGGCUCAUCGGUGACCAUUUCAGCAAACCAAGAACUGAAAUGACCAAGAACUGAAACGAGCUUUCCCCUUCGUUUCAACUGCACACCUUGCGGAAGUCUGCUCCAGAAGAGUCUCCUGGCUGUCUUCUCUCCGCGUGUCAUGGACAAGUGCGUUUUGUGCUUUACCUCUGGGUCUUGCUUUUUGCCCUUUGAGGCAAGAAUGACUGGCAAAGAUAAACAGCCUUUUCAGUAAGGAUCCCUUGUGCUACCCAUCCAUUCUAAAAUACUCUGCUACCUCAACCGAGGCUAGAUUUUCCCAUGAGUAUAAAAUAUGAAGAGCAUCUCGGUAAUUUUGAAUGAUAGGCUUUGCCGCAGCACCUGGAAUCCAGCUUAUGGAAGGAAUCACAUGCGAAGGAAGUUAGCAGGGCAGCCAGCUCAGGUGCACUGGCUCUGGGACUGGCUGGCGUUUCCGGGCGUCACCAAAGCAGCCCCAUGAGAUCCAAUGGCCAAGGCCUCACCUGACAUCCAAACACCCUCUUCACAUUAGGGGAUCCCAGGCUCAGAAGGACAAGGCGUCUUUCUUGCUGGAAGCAACUUUUAUUUUCUUUGGGCACCUUAACCCCACCUUUCGGUCUAGAAAGUGAGCUCCUUCACUCCCGGCUUACGCCAGUGCGCUUGUGGGCUUGUAGAUCUGAUGACAACCUUUCUUUUUGCCCAGGCUCUUUCUUUCGUUCUAGAACUUCUUUUUCUCUUACUGUAUUGCCUCAGACAUUUGGUUUUCUCUUUAUGCUGUGAUUUUCCCAGGUUUAUAGUUAAACUUUCUUUCGGCUUUUGCUUUUUAGGGCCGCACCCACAGCAUAUGGAAGCUCCCAGGCUUGGGGUCAAAUUGGAGCUGUAGCUCUAUAGCCUACACCACAGCCACAGCAACGCCAGAUCCUUAACCCACUGAGGGAGGCCAGGAAUUGGUCCUGCAUCCUCAUGGGUACUGGUCAGGUGCUUAACUCGCUGAGCCACAACGGGAACUCCGAAAGCUUUUGACUCAAUUGUUCUGCUUGGUUUUUCUCUUUUGCCUAACUGCUAGAUCCUGGGACAUAGUUUUCAUUUUUGUUUUGUCUUUCAGGUUUGGGUUUUGUUGCUGUUGAUGUUAGAGUAUAGUUGGUUUACGGAGUUUUGCCAAUAUCUGCUAUACAGCAUGUGCUAUACCUCGAGUCAUACUAUGUAUACAUUCCUUUUCUCACGCUGUCUUCCAUCCUGUUCUAUCCCAAGAGAGUGGAUAAAGUUCUCUGUGCUGUAUGGUAGGACCUCACUGCUGGUCCAUAUUCUAACGCAGUAGUUAUAGCAUCCACGAUCCCAGGGCAGUGCCGAGGUCCUCGGGGCCAUCCCGCGAGGUUGGUGACUCCAUUAUCCCCAUUCCGCAGAUGAGAAAGUCGAGGCUUUAAGAAGUGAGACAACCUGAUCAAGGCUACAUAGCAGUAAAGGAUAGAGCUGAGACUGGAACAAAGCUUGUUUGACCAGUCCGUACUCUUAACCUCAACACCACGCUGUUCUUUGGUGUUUCAAAAUCCCUCGUAAGCCGUAUGCUUCCAAGAACAUUUUGAACAGAAAACAUUCAGACUCAGAGCCACUUAGCUGUGAUGUGGCAGAAGGAACCCUGGGUCGGAGUCAAAGGAGGGCCUCUUAACCGUGUCCUUGACUGCUGAGCGAGUCCUCUGCAAGCUGGCUCCCCAGCCCGCUCGGGCUCUUCCCUCCCAUCUGUGACAGUGCCUGUCUGCUGGCAUUCCGGACGAAUUUUUGAUUUCCUCUUCCUUAAUUUUUCCUAAACUAAGAGAAAUGCCCUCUGCCAUGCCCACAUCAUGUGUGGUAGUUAAAGCUGGUAUCAAAUGAGUCAGUUGGCACAGGGCUACUUGUCGUGAAAGAAGCAGCAGCAGUGAUUAAAUGCACCCCUCCUCCCCCUGGCAGAAAGCAAGUGGAGCAUAAUGACUCAAGGGCAAAGCGAGGAAAGCCCUUGGCAGCUGCGCCGUGAUAUACUCUUCUGUCUCGAAUUUUCCCUGUGUAUGUUCACCUCCCCUCACCAUGCUGCUCGUGGUUCGUCCUCAUCUCCAGUGUAUUUAAGCCAUUGUCCCGCAAUAACGGCCCCCAACUGUCUUUGUCCAGUCGGAGGGGAGACCCAGGCCUCGAGAAGACUUGCUGACGGUCUCAAGCAGGUAUCUCAUUCGGUCACAUAGCUUUUCACCAUCUCAUGUGUCUUUGACUGAACGGUGUUCACCCCAAACUCAUAUAUUGAAGUUGUACCACUGAUCCCUUAGCAUGUUACUGUCUUCGGAGACAGGACUUUGAAAGAGGAAACUAAGGAAAACGGGGUGCCAUGCAAGGGCCCUGAGGCCACGUGACCGGGGCCCUUCCAAGAGGAGGCGAUCCGGACAGAAACACGAAGGGACGGAGGGAAGGCGGCCCUCAGCAGCCGAGGCGAGAGGCAUCAGAGGAAAACAAACCUGUUACCACGCUGAUCUUGGUCCCAGAUCCCACUGGAGAAAAUGAACCUCUGCUGCUUAGGAGAGCUGUGAGGAAGUACCCGUCUGUUGAUCAAGCCACCCAGCGUUUGGUAUUUCAUCAUGGCAGCCUGAACAAAUUAAUGCAUCCUUUCUUUCUCUUUUUCCUUUCUAGGGCCUCCCCCACGGCGUAUGGAGGUUCCCGGGCUAGAGGUCGAAUUGGAGCUACAGCUGCCGGCCCGCACCACAGCCACAGCCACUCGGGAUCCGAGCUGCGUCUGUGACCUACACCAGAGCUCACGGCAACUCCGGAUCCUUAACCCACUGAGCGAGGCCAGGGAUCAGGCCCACGUCCUCGUGGGUCUUAGUUGGGUUCAUUCCCGCUGAGCCACAGGGGGAAAUCCAGUCCUCAUGUGCUAAAUCCAGGGUUGGUUUUAGUCUUUUUUCUGUUACUUCCCAGAAGAGCUUUAGCUUCAUUUUUAAUUUUCUUUCCUCAUUUGCUUGAGCGAGAUAUUUUUUGCCCCAGUAGGUCAUACUCAGGUAUAUAAGCCUUCAUCCACGCACUGGAGCACAGAGACUUCAGAGCUGUUGCAGGGUUUGAGGAGCACCCAGGGUUAGUGACUCUUAUCUGGUGCUCUGAACACAGCUUACGUUUCUGCACCUGUGCAAAAUCCUUGUCUCGUCACUGCUUCACCUACGUGUGUCCGUUCUCAGGUAUAUUGCUCCUUUUACAGUUAAUAAAAUAAGCCGCUAACCACACACAGCUGAUUUCUCCCCUUUACCAAUACCCCAUGGAUUCCUCUGCUUUUUCUUACCGUCUGUCCUGAUAAAAUGGCAGCAGCAGCACCAUUCACCCAGCUUCGUGUUCUCCAGCUAGGAAAUGAGGGUGUCAUCCUGUUUGGUUUCUCUUCUUUGGCCGCCCACGGCACGUGGAGUUCCCGGGCCAGGGAUCAGGCCCCAGCUGCAGUUGUGACCAACACUGCAGCUGUGGCAGUGCAGGAUCCUUGACCCGCUGUGUCGGGCUGGGGAUUGAACCUGCGCCCCAGUGCUGCAGAGACACCGCUGACUCCAUUGUGCCACAGCGGGAACUCCAGGGAGUCACUCUUGAUCUUUCUUUUCCUUGCUCAUUUAUCCAACUCAUUACCCACUUCUGUUCAUUCUUCCUUUAACACAUAUAACAGGGAAAGAUUUGUAAUAUUAAACUGUAGUAUUAACUCUGAAUUGCAAAUAUCAAUAUGGACUAAUGUAUUAAAAAGUAUGUGUGUGUCAGGAGUUCCCUGGCGGCCUAGCAGUUAAGGAUCCAGCAUUGCCACUGCUGUGGCUUGGAUUUGACCCCUGGCCUGAAAACUUCUGCACGUUGAGGGCACAGCCAAAGAAAGUGUGUGUGUGUGUGUGUGUCUGUCUGUCUGUCUAUCUGUCUGUCUGUCUGCCCAGCCCUGCCACUAAUAAAACUUAGAAGCAGUGGCGUGUCCUUAGCGACAAGCCCGUGUGUCUGUCUGUCUGUCUGUCUGUCGGCCCAGCCCUGCCACUAAUAGAACUUAGAAGCAGUGGCGUGUCCUUAGCAACAAGCCCGUGUGUCUGUCUGUCUGUCUGUCUGUCUGCCCAGCCCUGCCACUAAUAGAACUUAAAAGCAGUGGCGUGUCCUUAGCAACAAGCCCAUCCGGCAUCCAGAUUUUGAUUUCUAUGCAUCAUUACCACCAAAAGAGUAACAGUCUUUGGAGAAAUAGCUGAUUCUAGUUGUUGAGCAGUGAAACUGCAGGUGAGCUGGGGCCCUCCCGUGGCGGACACCAAAGACGUGCUCAGUGCUUUACGGGGCAUGUUCAACGGACCCAAGAGCUCCUUUAAAGUGGUCCCACUAGAGCAGGUUUUGGAUACUUUGAAGUGUAAUUGAUUAUAAAACACCGAAUACAUAAAAUCUAUUAGUCUAUAAUAAUACUCAAAAAGUGAAGGAAAGGAGGAAAAAAAUUGACUAUUAGAGAUGACUACUCAAUAAAUCCUUACUCUAAAAUCGGUAGUAAAAGGGAAAGAACUGAACAUUUAUCUACUUUUUUAUGAGGGAUUGUUUGUCCUCCUCCUUAAUGAGGGAAACUCUUCCUUAGAAAAGGAUGACCAGGAGUUCCCGCUGAGGUGCAACGGGAUUGGUGGAGUCGCUGAGGCGCUGGGACGCAGGUUCCGUCCUCCACCCAGCGCAGAGAGUUAAGGAUCUGGCAUUGCCUCAUUCGAGGCUUAGAUUGCAACUGCAGCUCGGAUCUGGCCCCUGGCCCGGGAACUCCAUAUGCUGUGCACCCCCGCCCCCAAAAAAAGACCAAAAAAGGAACGGUGUGAGAUGAACUAUUUUGCAACUGCCAGUGAAAUAACUGCUUAAGGCAGAGACCAUCAGAGGCGAAAGGUCACUGCAGAACAGGAUGGUCUUGCAGUGACAAGGCGUCACCACACACGGUACUUGUUCGCUGUGAUGGGCAGAAGGGAGGGACGGGGACAUCAGCCUGAAGGCGCUGACAACGCGGAAUAAUCUUGUUAUUGUUGCUAUUAAGGAUGAGGAUUAUUUCGGGGACAAUGAGGUGGUUGACCGUCCUCCAGCUUCCUGGGGUGGCCAUGGCUCCCUGCUGGACAGCACGGGGAAGGGCGUGGGUCUGGGUCACUCUGCUGUACAAGAGAAUGUGGCCAACAUUCAACCGCACUUUAAUUUUAAAAAAAGCAACAGCUUCCCAGACGCCUCCCUGGAGAUUCUAAUGUUCACGCGGAAUGGGGACGGGCUACAGGUAUUUAUAUUUUGAAGGAGCUCAUUUGUGUCCUCAGGCCACUGGGACACACCGGCCUUAUCCUUCUAAGCUGGGAUUUGGGGUCAGACGGAUUAGGAUUCGGGGCUGGGCUCUGGAGGUGCGUAGCUGUGUGAAACCUUAGGCGACGCCCCUGUCCACAGCGUGAUUCGUAUCCAGAAACAGGGAUGACAGCUGCUGGCACAGGGCUGUUCUGGGGAAUUGAGUGAUUCCUGGAGAACUACUACCGUGCCUGGAAUAGUCUAGGUUCUCAGCAAAUAUUGCAAACCAUGAUUCGAUUUCCCCGUCAUUCGCUUGGUUGUGUUACUCUGAUUCAAGGUCUCGGUGCUGGUGUCUUUGGUUUUUCGGCAACACGGGUGAGUCAGGGCAGGUGACACGUGAGCUCUAACCCCAGCCGAAGACUCUCCUCUGCCAACUUUUCGCUGCCUCAACAAGGUAUCUCUUUCAUUUAUUCUUUUUGGUUCCACCUGUCACCUCCCUUAAAUUAUAAAAAGGCCUUCCAUGAAUCUCUUUGUUCUACAGCAGAAGUUAUCACAACAUUGUAUAUCAGCUAUACUUCAAUAAAACUUUUUUAAAAAUUAAAAAAA
rnacentral:lncRNA from 1 species